AGAGCGAACGCUGGCGGCAGGCCUAAUACAUGCAAGUCGAGCGCACCUUCGGGUGAGCGGCGGACGGGUGAGUAACGCGUGGGAAUGUGCCCUUUGGUACGGAACAACUGAGGGAAACUUCAGCUAAUACCGUAUGUGCCCUUCGGGGGAAAGAUUUAUCGCCAUUGGAGCAGCCCGCGUUGGAUUAGGUAGUUGGUGAGGUAAAGGCUCACCAAGCCUACGAUCCAUAGCUGGUCUGAGAGGAUGAUCAGCCACACUGGGACUGAGACACGGCCCAGACUCCUACGGGAGGCAGCAGUAGGGAAUCUUGCGCAAUGGGCGAAAGCCUGACGCAGCCAUGCCGCGUGAAUGAUGAAGGUCUUAGGAUUGUAAAAUUCUUUCACCGGGAAGAUAAUGACGGUACCCGGAGAAGAAGCCCGGCUAACUUCGCGCCAGCAGCCGC
rnacentral:rRNA from 1 species